rnacentral:lncRNA from 1 species
CAGUAGUGAUUUAGAAUAAAUUAUACAUGUUGGACUUAGAACUUGACUUAGGAGAAAACUAUCGAUUUCUACACCGUCACUUUAUGAAACUACCAGAUUUAACUCUAGGAGCCGUAGUUUAUUUGUAUCGCCGCAGUUUGAGGGUGGUGGAUACCCAGAAUAGUGUAGAAUGCAUUUACGCUUGUGCUGAGAUGUCGAGUUUAUUUUUAUAGUAGUGUAUAGACUGUUCCGGAUUGUCGGGUGCCGUUGGGGCGGACGGUGGGCCUAAAAUGCUAUUUUUUGUAUCGGAUUGUGCCGAGGGCACGUUGAUUAUGGUUGUUAGACCGGCUAGACCUUUCUACUUUGAUUACAGCUUGUGAGAGCUUGAUUGAGCUCGGCAGAGAUACGCUUGCAUACUCGGUUGGGUAGCGCCCACGAGUGCCACUUCGGAGUCGGGCUUUGUGCUUUUGCGUUGUUUUUGGUUUGUCCUGGUUGGACUUGCUCUCCACUGACGACCUAGCGUGGUGGUACUAGUGUAGCUUCGGCAGGAGGGGACGGGUGUGUUCACAGUCGCUAGUGAGAUUGGGUCUGAGUCUGCAUUUUUUAUAGAUAUUAGUAUUUGGAUCGUGAUAGAAUAGUGGCAUAUAGCUGUAGAUUUGUUCCAGCUUUAUUUACUAUUCUUUAAAAAUUACUCAACAGAUUCCUCAUUGAAUCAACAGAUUUCUCAUUGAAUCAACAGAUUCCUCAUUAAAAAUUACUCAACAGAAUA